GACGAACGCUGUCGGCGUGCUUAACACAUGCAAGUCGAACGGAAAGGCCCUGCUUUUGUGGGGUGCUCGAGUGGCGAACGGGUGAGUAACACGUGAGUAACCUGCCCUUGACUUUGGGAUAACUUCAGGAAACUGGGGCUAAUACCGGAUAGGAGCUCCUGCUGCAUGGUGGGGGUUGGAAAGUUUCGGCGGUUGGGGAUGGACUCGCGGCUUAUCAGCUUGUUGGUGGGGUAGUGGCUUACCAAGGCUUUGACGGGUAGCCGGCCUGAGAGGGUGACCGGCCACAUUGGGACUGAGAUACGGCCCAGACUCCUACGGGAGGCAGCAGUGGGGAAUAUUGCACAAUGGGCGGAAGCCUGAUGCAGCAACGCCGCGUGCGGGAUGACGGCCUUCGGGUUGUAAACCGCUUUCGCCUGUGACGAAGCGUGAGUGACGGUAAUGGGUAAAGAAGCACCGGCUAACUACGUGCCAGCAGCCGCGGUGAUACGUAGGGUGCGAGCGUUGUCCGGAUUUAUUGGGCGUAAAGGGCUCGUAGGUGGUUGAUCGCGUCGGAAGUGUAAUCUUGGGGCUUAACCCUGAGCGUGCUUUCGAUACGGGUUGACUUGAGGAAGGUGGGGGAGAAUGGAAUUCCUGGUGGAGCGGUGGAAUGCGCAGAUAUCAGGAGGAACACCAGUGGCGAAGGCGGUUCUCUGGGCCUUUCCUGACGCUGAGGAGCGAAAGCGUGGGGAGCGAACAGGCUUAGAUACCCUGGUAGUCCACGCUGUAAACGGUGGGUACUAGGUGUGGGGUCCAUUCCACGGGUUCCGUGCCGUAGCUAACGCUUUAAGUACCCCGCCUGGGGAGUACGGCCGCAAGGCUAAAACUCAAAGGAAUUGACGGGGCCCCGCACAAGCGGCGGAGCAUGCGGAUUAAUUCGAUGCAACGCGUAGAACCUUACCUGGGUUUGACAUGGAUCGGGAGUGCUCAGAGAUGGGUGUGCCUCUUUUGGGGUCGGUUCACAGGUGGUGCAUGGCUGUCGUCAGCUCGUGUCGUGAGAUGUUGGGUUAAGUCCCGCAACGAGCGCAACCCUUGUUCACUGUUGCCAGCACGUUAUGGUGGGGACUCAGUGGAGACCGCCGGGGUCAACUCGGAGGAAGGUGGGGAUGACGUCAAGUCAUCAUGCCCCUUAUGUCCAGGGCUUCACGCAUGCUACAAUGGCUGGUACAGAGAGUGGCGAGCCUGUGAGGGUGAGCGAAUCUCGGAAAGCCGGUCUCAGUUCGGAUUGGGGUCUGCAACUCGACCUCAUGAAGUCGGAGUCGCUAGUAAUCGCAGAUCAGCAACGCUGCGGUGAAUACGUUCCCGGG
rnacentral:rRNA from 1 species